UGUGCAUUAGAAGAUGGUCGCUAUUUUAGAAUAGAGGAAAGUCCGGGCUACAUUAGACAAAAUUCCAUCUAACGGAUGGCUAGCGCAAGCUAAGGGAAAGUGCCACAGAAAGCAAACCGCCUUUUUAAGGUAAGGGUGAAAGGGUGGGGUAAGAGCCCACCAGAGCUAAAGCAAUUUAGCUUGUUUGGGCAAACCCAAUUUGUAGCAAGAAGCGCAUGGUAAGUCUAAAUUGAUACACGCUUCGCUUGAGGAAUAUUGCAAAAUAUUUCCCAGAUAAAUGGCCAUCCAUUGACAGAACCCGGCUUAUUCUAAUGCUCAACUU
rnacentral:RNase_P_RNA from 1 species